UACGUAGGUGACAAGCGUUGUCCGGAUUUACUGGGCGUAAAGAGCGCGCAGGCGGUCGUUUAAGUCGAAUGUGAAAGCCCCCGGCUCAACUGGGGAGGUCAUUCGAUACUGAUCGACUCGAAGGCAGGAGAGGGUAGUGGAAUUCCCGGUGUAGCGGUGGAAAUGCGUACGAUAUCGGAGAUCAACGAAGGACAGUAGGCGAAGCG
rnacentral:rRNA from 1 species